UACGGGGGGGGCAAGCGUUGUUCGGAAUUACUGGGCGUAAAGGGCUCGUAGGUGGCCAACUAAGUCAGACGUGAAAUCCCCAGGCUCAACUUGGGAACUGCGUCUGAUACUGGAUGGCUAGAGUUCGGCAGAGGGAAGCGGAAUUUCUGGUGUAGCGGUGAAAUGCGUAGAUAUCAGAAGGAACAUCAGUGGCGAAAGCGGCUUCCUGGACCAGAACUGACGAUCAGGCACGAAAGCGUGGGGAGCAAACAGG
rnacentral:rRNA from 1 species